UACGUAGGGUGCAAGCGUUAAUCGGAAUUACUGGGCGUAAAGCGUGCGCAGGCGGUUUUGUAAGUCAGAUGUGAAAUCCCCGGGCUUAACCUGGGAACUGCGUUUGAAGCUACAAGGCUAGAGUGUGACAGAGGGGGGUGGAAUUCCACGUGUAGCAGUGAAAUGCGAAGAGAUGUGGAGGAACACCGAUGGCGAAGGCAGCCCCCUGGGUUAACACUGACGCUCAGGCACGAAAGCGUGGGGAGCAAACAGG
rnacentral:rRNA from 1 species